GCACUACAACGGGUGGAGCCUGCGGUUUAAUUGGAUUCAACGCCGGAAAACUCACCGGGUGCGACAGCAAUAUGUAGGUCAGGCUGAAGGUCUUACCUGAAUCGCUGAGAGGAGGUGCAUGGCCGUCGUCAGUUCGUACUGUGAAGCAUCCUGUUAAGUCAGGCAACGAGCGAGACCCGCGCCCACAGUUGCCAGCAUGUUCUCCGGAACGAUGGGUACACUGUGGGGACCGCCGCUGCUAAAGCGGAGGAAGGAACGGGCUACGGUAGGUCAGUAUGCCCCGAAUCUCCCGGGCUACACGCGGGCUACAAUGGUUGGGACAAUGGGCACCUACCCUGAAAAGGGACGGUAAUCCCCUAAACCCAACCGUAGUUCGGAUUGAGGGCUGUAACCCGCCCUCAUGAAGCUGGAAUCCGUAGUAAUCGCGUUUCGACAUAGCGCGGUGAAUACGUCCCUGCUCCUCGCACACACCGCCCGUCAAACCAUGCGAGUGAGGUCUGGGUGAGGGCAUGUUUAUGACAUGUUCGAACCUGGGCUUCGCAAGUGGGGUU
rnacentral:rRNA from 1 species